rnacentral:tRNA from 1 species
GGAGAAAUGGCCGAGUGGCUGAAGGCGCACCCCUGCUAAGGGUGUAUAGGGGAAACUCUAUCGAGGGUUCGAAUUUACACAUCUAUUUGCU